rfam:Byssochlamys spectabilis No. 5 DNA, contig: PVAR5_00066_3.
UCCCAAUUGGUGUAGUGGCUAACAUCGCCGUCUUUCACACGGCAGCCCGGGGUUCGAUUCCCCGAUUGGGAG